CCUUGGUCAUGUGAGUCUGUAACUGGGCUGUGAACCAUCAGACCUGGGCUCAGCAUCAGAACCAUCAUUUGAAGAAGAUCUGCAUCAGAACUGAACUCAGCCGUGAGGAAGAGUAAUCACCUACACACAGUACACGCUGCAGGCUCAAAGCCUGCCACGCAGGGGGAUAGCGAGACGGUCAGUGCAACCAGCCCAGGGGACUGAGCCUGGUGCCCAGAACCCAC
rnacentral:lncRNA from 1 species